GGAUGAAGAACGCAGCGAAAUGCGAUAAGUAGUGUGAAUUGCAGAAUUCAGUGAAUCAUCGAAUCUUUGAACGCACAUUGCGCCCCUUGGUACUCCAUGGGGCAUGCCUGUUCGAGCGUCAUUUACACCCUCAAGCUCAGCUUGGUGUUGGGCGUCUGUCCCGCUUCGUGCGCGGACUCGCCUCAAAUGCAUUGGCAGCGGUCUUGCCAGCUUCUCGCGCAGCACAUUGCGCUUCUAGAGGCUUUGGCGGAUCGGCGUCCAUCAAGUACACCCACAGUUUGACCUCGGAUCAGGUAGGGAUACCCGCUGAACUUAAGCAUAUCAAUAAGCGGAGGA
rnacentral:misc_RNA from 1 species